rnacentral:misc_RNA from 1 species
GAUGAAGAACGUAGUAAAAUGCGAUAAGUAAUGUGAAUUGCAGAAUUCGGUGAAUCAUCGAAUCUUUGAACGCACAUUGCGCCCGCUGGUAUUCCGGCGGGCAUGCCUGUUCGAGCGUCAUUUCAACCCUCAAGCCCCCGGGUUUGGUGUUGGGGAUCGGCUCUGCCCUUCUGGGCGGUGCCGCCCCCGAAAUACAUUGGCGGUCUCGCUGCAGCCUCCAUUGCGUAGUAGCUAACACCUCGCAACUGGAACGCGGCGCGGCCAUGCCGUAAAACCCCAACUUCUGAAUGUUGACCUCGGAUCAGGUAGGAAUACCCGCUGAACUUAAGCAUAUCAAUAAGCGGAGGA